rnacentral:rRNA from 1 species
UACGAGGGGGGCAAGCGUUGUUCGGAAUUAUUGGGCGUAAAGGGCGCGUAGGCGGUGCGGUAAGUCUGAUGUGAAAUCUCCGGGCUCAACUCGGAGUCUGCAUCAGAAACUGCCGUGCUUGAGUGUGGGAGAGGUGAGUGGAAUUCCCGGUGUAGCGGUGAAAUGCGUAGAUAUCGGGAGGAAUACCUAUGGCGAAAGCAGGCUUCUGGGCUAUCACUGACGCUGAUCUGCGAAAGCUAGGGGAGCAAACAGG